AAAAGUUAGAUAAUGAAUAAAACGAACAAGACUUGGUUUUAGUCGAAACAGCAAAACAAAACAAAUUCUCAUCGUUGAGUUGAGAACUCUCCUCCCUCUCUCCCUCCAUCGCCGCACAUCUCAUCCUCAUUUGCAGGCACGCAGGCAGACCACUAAGAAGAUCGAUCCUUCUCUUUUUGACUUAUGAAUAAUAUUGAUUUGAUUAGGGGAAGUAGAAAGAUCAGAUGGCACUAAAAAGUGUCACAAAAAUGUUAUCCCAGAGGUUGUUUUCCAGGGGCACUAGAGGCAUUGUUACCAAUACUGGAGGACGAACUGAGACCAGCAAACAUAUUACGGAUGAAAAUUUGCGAAGUAUUUGUGAACGCGUUGAGCAGGCUACUGCGGAUGCAAAGCAAUUAUGUGA